UACGGAGGAUGCGAGCGUUAUCCGGAUUUAUUGGGUUUAAAGGGUGCGUAGGCGGGCUGUUAAGUCAGCGGUAAAAGCCCGGGGCUCAACCCCGGCGAGCCGUUGAAACUGGCUGUCUUGAGAUGUCGAGAGGUAUGCGGAAUGCGCAGUGUAGCGGUGAAAUGGUUAGAUAUUGCGCAGAACUCCGAUUGCGAAGGCAGCAUACCGGCGGCGAUCUGACGCUGAGGCACGAAAGCGUGGGUAUCGAACAGG
rnacentral:rRNA from 1 species